GAGUGGGGAUUGCCUCAGUAACGGCGAGUGAAGCGGCAACAGCUCAAAUUUGAAAUCUGGCCCUUUCAGGGUCCGAGUUGUAAUUUGUAGAGGAUGUUUCGGCGAGGGCUCCCGUCUAAGUUCCCUGGAACGGGACGUCAUAGAGGGUGAGAAUCCCGUAUGUGAUGGGUUGCUCGAGCCAUGUGAAACUCCUUCGACGAGUCGAGUUGUUUGGGAAUGCAGCUCUAAAUGGGAGGUAAAUUUCUUCUAAAGCUAAAUACCGGCCAGAGACCGAUAGCGCACAAGUAGAGUGAUCGAAAGAUGAAAAGCACUUUGGAAAGAGAGUUAAAAAGUACGUGAAAUUGUUGAAAGGGAAGCGCUUGCAACCAGACUUGUCCGCAGUUGCUCAGCCGGUCUCCUGACCGGUGUACUCUUCUGCGGCCAGGCCAGCAUCAGUUCGGGCGGUUGGAUAAAGGCCCCGGGAAUGUGGCUCUCUUCGGGGAGUGUUAUAGCCCGGGGCGGAAUGCAGCCAGCCUGGACUGAGGAUCUCGCUUCGGCAAGGAUGCUGGCGUAAUGGUUGUAAGCGGCCCGUCUUGAAACACGGACCAAGGAGUCUAACAUCUAUGCGAGUGUUUGGGUGUCAAACCCAUACGCGUAAUGAAAGUGAACGGAGGUGGGAACCCGCAAGGGCGCACCAUCGACCGAUCCUGAUGUCUUCGGAUGGAUUUGAGUAAGAGCAUAGCUGUUGGGACCCGAAAGAUGGUGAACUAUGCCUGAAUAGGGUGAAGCCAGAGGAAACUCUGGUGGAGGCUCGCAGCGGUUCUGACGUGCAAAUCGAUCGUCAAAUUUGGGUAUAGGGGCGAAACUCAAA
rnacentral:rRNA from 1 species